CCUAGAAAGCUCCGCGGGCA
rnacentral:tRNA from 1 species